rnacentral:rRNA from 1 species
UACGUAGGGGGCGAGCGUUGUCCGGAUUUAUUGGGCGUAAAGAGCUCGUAGGCGGCUUGGCAAGUCGGGUGUGAAACCUCCAGGCUCAACCUGGAGACGCCACUCGAUACUGCCAUGGCUAGAGUCCGGUAGGGGACCACGGAAUUCCUGGUGUAGCGGUGAAAUGCGCAGAUAUCGGGAAGAACACCCGUGGCGAAGGCGGCUCUCGUGGGACGGUAC